GAUGAACGCUGGCGGCGUGCCUAAUACAUGCAAGUCGAGCGAACAGACGAGGCGCUUGCUCCUCUGACGUUAGCGGCGGACGGGUGAGUAACACGUGGAUAACCUACCUAUAAGACUGGGAUAACUUCGGGAAACCGGAGCUAAUACCGGAUAACAUGUUGAACCGCAUGGUUCAACAGUGAAAGACGGUCUUGCUGUCACUUAUAGAUGGAUCCGCGCCGCAUUAGCUAGUUGGUAAGGUAACGGCUUACCAAGGCAACGAUGCGUAGCCGACCUGAGAGGGGGAUCGGCCACACUGGAAAUGAGACACGGUCAAGACUCCUAAGGGAGGCAGCAGUAGGGAAUCUGCCGCAAUGGGCGAAAGCCUGACGGAGCAACGCCGAGUGAGUGAAGAAGGUCUUCGGAUCGUAAAAAUCUGUUAUUAGGGAAGAACAAAUGUGUAAGUAACUAUGCACGUCUUGACGGUACCUAAUCAGAAAGCCACGGCUAACUACGUG
rnacentral:rRNA from 1 species